GCGGCUGUAGCUCAGCUGGUAGUAGCGCCAGAUUGUGGUUCUGGAUGUCGUGGGUUCAAAUCCCACCAGCCGCCCCA
rnacentral:tRNA from 1 species